rnacentral:rRNA from 1 species
GACUUUGAUCCUGGUUCAUAACGAACGCUGGCCGCGCGUUUUCAGCAUGCGAGUCUAACGGCAAGGCGGGUAGCAAUAUCUGCCCUAGAGUGGCGAACGGGUGAGUAACACCUAUGUGAUCUACCUCUGGAUGGGGGUUAGUCUGUGGAAACACAGGGUAAUACCGCAUGACGCCUUGUGGGUAAAGCCAUGAGGUGAAAGGUGCAAUUGCACCGUCUGGGGAUGAGCCUGCGGUCCAUUAGUUAGUUGGCGGGGUAAUGGCCCACCAAUGACGACGAUGGAUAGCCGGCCUGAGAGGGUGAACGGCCACACUGGAACUGAGACACGGUCCAGACUCCUACGGGAGGCAGCAGCUAAGAAUCUUCCGCAAUGGGGGAAACCCUGACGGAGCGACGCCGCGUGGAUGAUGAAGGCCGUAAGGUUGUAAAAUCCUUUUGUCGGUGAAGAAUAAGGAGGGGAGUGGAAAGCCCCUCUGAUGACGUUAGCCGACGAAUAAGCCCCGGCUAAUUACGUGCCAGCAGCCGCGGUAAUACGUAUGGGGCAAGCGUUGUUCGGAUUUAUUGGGCGUAAAGCGCGUGUAGGCGGUCUGAUUAGUCUGAUGUGAAAGCCCUGGGCUCAACCCAGGAAGUGCAUUGGAUACUGUCAGACUUGAAUACGGGAGAGGGUAGUGGAAUUCCUGGUGUAGCGGUGGAAUGCGUAAAUAUCAGGAGGAACACCCGUGGCGAAGGCUGCUAUCUGGAACGUUACUGACGCUGAGGCGCGAAAGCUAGGGGAGCGAACGGGAUUAGAUACCCCGGUAGUCCUAGCUGUAAACGAUGGACACUAGGUGUUGGAGGCAUCGACCCCUUCAGUGCUGUUCUGCUAACGCGUUAAGUGUCCCGCCUGGGGAGUACGGCCGCAAGGUUGAAACUCAAAGGAAUUGACGG